rnacentral:rRNA from 1 species
GAGUUUGAUCAUGGCCAGGACGAACGCUGGCGGCGUGCUUAACACAUGCAAGUCGAGCGGUAAGGCCCUUCGGGGUACACGAGCGGCGAACGGGUGAGUAACACGUGGGUAACCUGCCCUGUACUCUGGGAUAAGCCUUGGAAACGAGGUCUAAUACCGGAUACGACACUGAAUCGCAUGAUUCGGUGUGGAAAGUUCCGGCGGUAUGGGAUGGACCCGCGGCCUAUCAGCUUGUUGGUGGGGUAAUGGCCUACCAAGGCGACGACGGGUAGCCGGCCUGAGAGGGUGACCGGCCACACUGGGACUGAGACACGGCCCAGACUCCUACGGGAGGCAGCAGUGGGGAAUAUUGCACAAUGGGCGAAAGCCUGAUGCAGCGACGCCGCGUGAGGGAUGACGGCCUUCGGGUUGUAAACCUCUUUCAGCAGGGACGAAGCGCAAGUGACGGUACCUGCAGAAGAAGCACCGGCUAACUACGUGCCAGCAGCGCGGUAA